UACGUAGGGUGCGAGCGUUGUCCGGAAUUACUGGGCGUAAAGAGCUCGUAGGUGGUUUGUCGCGUUGUUCGUGAAAACCGGGGGCUUAACCCUCGGCGUGCGGGCGAUACGGGCAGACUUGAGUACUGCAGGGGAGACUGGAAUUCCUGGUGUAGCGGUGGAAUGCGCAGAUAUCAGGAGGAACACCGGUGGCGAAGGCGGGUCUCUGGGCAGUAACUGACGCUGAGGAGCGAGAGCGUGGGGAGCGAACAGG
rnacentral:rRNA from 1 species